rnacentral:rRNA from 1 species
GAUGAACGCUAGCGGCAGGCCUAAUACAUGCAAGUCGAACGGUGUCUUCGGACAUAGUGGCGCACGGGUGCGUAACACGUAUGCAACCUACCUUACAUGGGGGGAUAGCCUUUCGAAAGGGAGAUUAAUACCGCAUAAGACAGUAGCUGGGCAUCCAGCAGCUGUUAAAGAUUUAUCGAUGUAAGCUGGGCAUGCGUCCAAUUAGCUAGUUGGUGAGGUAACGGCUCACCAAGGCAAUGAUUGGUAGGGGAACUGAGAGGUCAAUCCCCCACACUGGCACUGAGAUACGGGCCAGACUCCUACGGGAGGCAGCAGUGGGGAAUAUUGCGCAAUGGGCGAAAGCCUGACGCAGCGACGCCGCGUGAGGGAUGAAGGUCUUCGGAUCGUAAACCUCUUUCAGUAGGGACGAAGCGAAAGUGACGGUACCUAAAGAAGAAGCACCGGCUAACUACGUGCCAGCAGCCGCGGUAAAAC